CGGGUGAGUAAUGUAUGGGGAUCUGUCUGAUGGCGGGGGAUAACUACUGGAAACGGUAGCUAAUACCGCAUAAUGUCUGCGGACCAAAGCGGGGGACCUCCGGGCCUCGCGCCAUCAGAUGAACCCAUAUGGGAUUAGCUUGUAGGUAAGGUAACGGCUUACCUAGGCGACGAUCCCUAGCUGGUCUGAGAGGAUGAUCAGCCACACUGGGACUGAGACACGGCCCAG
rnacentral:rRNA from 1 species